rnacentral:rRNA from 1 species
UACGUAGGUGGCAAGCGUUGUCCGGAUUUACUGGGCGUAAAGGAUGCGUAGGCGAACAUUUAAGUCAGAUGUGAAAUACCCGAGCUUAACUUGGGUGCUGCAUUUGAAACUGGGUGUCUAGAGUGCGGGAGAGGUAAGUGGAAUUCCUAGUGUAGCGGUGAAAUGCGUAGAGAUUAGGAAGAACACCAGUGGCGAAGGCGGCUUUCUGGUCUGUAACUGACGCUGAGGCGCGAAAAGCGUGGGGGAGCAAACAGG